rnacentral:rRNA from 1 species
AUUGAACGCUGGCGGCAGGCCUAACACAUGCAAGUCGAACGAGUGGCGGACGGGUGAGUAAUGUCUGGGAAACUGCCCGAUGGAGGGGGAUAACUACUGGAAACGGUAGCUAAUACCGCAUACCAUCGGAUGUGCCCAGAUGGGAUUAGCUAGGAGGGGGGGUAACGGCGCACCUAGGCGACGAACCCUAGCUGGGCUGAGAGGAUGACCAGUCACACUGGAACUGAGACACGGGCCAGACUCCUACAGGAGGCAGCAUUGGGGAAUAUUGCACAAUGGGCGCAAGCCUGAUGCAGCCAUGCCGCGUGUAUGAAGAAGGCCUUCGGGUUGUAAAGUACUUUCAGCGGGGAGGCGUUACCCGCAGAAGAAGCACCGGCUAACUCCGUGCCAGCAGCCGCGGUAAUUC